UACGUAGGGUGCAAGCGUUGUCCGGAAUUAUUGGGCGCAAAGGGCUCGUAGGCGGUCCAUCGCGUCGGGAGUGAAAAGCUGGGGCUUAACCCCAGUCCUGCUUCCGAUACGGGUGGACUAGAGGUAGGUAGGGGAGAACGGAAUUCCUGGUGUAGCGGUGAAAUGCGCAGAUAUCAGGAGGAACACCGGUGGCGAAGGCGGUUCUCUGGGCCUUACCUGACGCUGAGGAGCGAAAGCAUGGGGAGCAAACAGG
rnacentral:rRNA from 1 species